CCAAGAUAUCCAGUCUGUCAAUCUGUUCUGGUGGAUCACAUCUUUGUGUUGUUGGAAGUUGCAAGAACUUUUCUGAUAGAUUUCAGCAGAACUAAGAAUUACUUGAUUCUAUUGUUGACUUGAUCUCUGCUUUUUGAAACUUUGGACCAGUCUGCGGGUGAGAUGAGUCUUCUGCUUAUUAACACAAGUAUGAAAAAUAGCUCAUGUUCAAGAUCACAGCAUGCAUAGGAGUCCAAACCAUCUUGAGAUAUUGGACAAAGGAAUUAGAGGUCAGCUGGGCAGAAAAAUGUCAGAAAGUGGAGCUCCAUGAGCUGUCGGCAUCCCAGGGGCAGAGCAGAGGCAGAUUUUGGCUGUGAAGUUGACCCAGCCAAUGCCACGCAGGACAAGGUGGCAUUGAGAAGGUCCACAGCAGCAGCAUGUGUGCUGGAGGGGAACCACAAGCCGUGAAGGAUAGGGCAAAAGUGCCCGCUUCAUAAAUACACAUAAACAAACAAAACAGCUCACCAGCAGACAAGCUUAGCUGGGGAGCUUUGUGCAAGGCAAUGCAAGAGGAGGCACGCAGCUCGAGCGCUGGGUCAGGAGGAAUGAGCCUAAGUCACCGGUGUCUCACAUCUCCUCUCUUGCUUUACUGAUGGAGAGUAACAUGCAGCUCUUGUCUAUUUGCCCUCAGCAAGCUUGCCUGCCUUGCCCUCUUCUGUGCUCUGAAACCCAGAAAUUCCACACAGAUGGUAUUUUUUAAGGUGUUUCUAAUAGCAAUGAUUUGGAAGGGAAUGCUGAGCCUUCUUGAAAUAUGGAGGAGACAUUGACGAGACCACUGUGUUUUCUGUUUGCGUGUGAAUGACAGAUGCUAUUCACAUCAAACAGAGGAUGCAUAAAGUCAUGGUGAUUGUAAAGACGUGGUGGGCAUAUUUCUGCACUGCAAAACUCAGGAACACGGCCUGCCAGGUAGUUCAUCCCCACGUGCUGGAGGAGCCGUGCCCUUUGGUUGUUCAUCAUCAAUAGGACUGAAAGCCUCUUGGAAAAAAAAGAGAGUCAAUGACCUCUAUAGCAUCACGUCAAACUUCCAGACUGCUGAUCAUCACAGUGUCAGUCCUUCAUUUUAGAGAAGUUUCUCUUUUACAGUACUAGCGCGGGGUUCUGGUGGCAGCAUUUGGAGAAGGAAUGGUGAGCUAAAGUGUGAAAAGUGAAUGCAAAAGGCUGUGGAAAGAUGUAUCCACCUGGUUUUACUGAAGAAAACAAUACAGCUCCCCAAGUGCUGGUGAAGCCCUUUCGUUGCUUUUUGCGUGGUUCAGCUCCUGCUUCCCUCUGAUUUCGUUAGUGUUUGGCCGAAUCCCAAUUCCUUUUGAAGAUGAUUAAUUGCAGAACAGCUUAUCCUUAUUAGUGGUACUCAGACCCAACUGAAUUUACCAAAGAAGUAAUUACCAGGGUCUUGGUGAUGGGUUUCCUAUUGAAAACGCUUGGGUUGACUGCAGGAGGAGCUGGGAACCAGGGUUUCCCAUGGCUUUGGACAGCUGGGAAACACAUUUCAGCCACAAAAGCACUCAGGGACCUCUAGCCCUCGCAUCCACAUCCAAUGUCCUGUCCCCACCAUCACUGGCCCUGUGCCGAGGAUCACGUGGCACCGUGAUGGGAUCACACGUUUACCAAAGCCACUCUUGUCACCGUAUGGGAACACAAUGUUUCUCCCUGCCUCUAGAAGCUGAGAAUUGGAAGAGGUCAUGAACAUCAACAAAUAUUGUCCAGAUUUUCUUCAGGUCCCUUUGUUGCUAAGGGAGUUUGACACUGCCAUGAUGAGCACUGCAGGAAUUCAGAAUGCACCAGCAUGAAUUGUAGAAUCAUAUACUGGUUUGGGUUGGAGGGGACCUUUGAGAUCAUGUAGUUCCAAUCCUCCUGCUAUAGGCAGGGACACCUCCUCUAGACCAAGUUGCUCAAAGCCCCAUCCAGCCUGGCCUUGAAUGCUUCCGGGGAGGGGGCAUCCACAGCCUCGCUGGGCAACCUGUUCCAGUGUCUCACUACCCUCACAAUAAAGAAUUUCUUUCUGAUAUCUAGUCUAGAUCUACCCUCUUCUGCUUUAAAGCCAUUUCCCCUCGUGCUUUUGAAGGAGAAGCAUUUUUAUGGGUAACCACACACUUUACUUUAGGAAGUAUUUACACAGCUGUGACCUUUUUGAACGAUAAGCUCCCCUGGUGUUUGGGAGCAGUGUCAUCUUCAAAUGGCAUGGCUAGACCUAGAGGUUGCCUGCUUGAGGGCCCUGCCCACCCGUGAUCUUCUCCCCCUCUCCCUCUACCUCUUAAGUUCUUUACAAGGAGAGUGGUGAGGUGCUGGAACGGGCUGCCCAGAGAGGCUGUGGAUGCCCCGUCCCUGGAGGUGUUCAAGGCCACGUUGGAUGGGGCCCUGGGCAACCUGGUCUAGUAAAUGGGGAGGUUGGUGGCCCUGCUAGCAGGGGGGUUGGAGAUUCAUGAUCCUUGAGGUCCCUUCCAACCCAGGCCAUUCUGUGAUUCUGUGAUUCUGUGUGAUUCUGUGAUACCUGGAGUAUCCCACCCCCCUAUGCCCCUGUCUCACCCCAGCUCCUCUCCUUGUCCCGGCCACUCCCAGCCCUCACUGCUUACCACCUCCCUUCCUCUUCUACAGAUCCACUGCUGAAAAAGAGACAUAAAUCCAAAAACAUCACUGGUGCCUCAUGUGCAAACACUUUAACAUUAAGCUGACACAGUCCUGUUGUUCA
rnacentral:lncRNA from 1 species